UACGAAGGGGGCUAGCGUUGUUCGGAAUUACUGGGCGUAAAGCGCGUGUAGGCGGGUCUUUAAGUCAGGGGUGAAAUGCCAAGGCUCAACCUUGGAACUGCCUUUGAUUCUGGAGACCUUGAGUCCGGGAGAGGUGAGUGGAAUUGCGAGUGUAGAGGUGAAAUUCGUAGAUAUUCGGAAGAGCACCAGUGGCGAAGGCGGCUCACUGGACUGGUAUUGACGCUGAGGUGCGAAAGCGUGGGGAGCAAACAGG
rnacentral:rRNA from 1 species